rnacentral:lncRNA from 10 species
GCCUAUGAUCUACAGUGCCCAUUCCAACUCAGAGAAUCUUUACAUCUGGAGAUCUAUAGCAGGGCUAUCCCUAGUGACAUGCGUGAAGAAGCUUGGAAAUGGUGCUGGGUAGGAGCUGAGUGUGCAGAAUGUGGAAAGGCAUUCUAAACCAAAGGAAGAACACGAGUAAAGAUGAUGAAGCAGGGAUAAGGCUAAAAUGAAAUUUGUGAUCUGAUCCACAUACAAGCACAGUGUAGUACAGCUGGAAUAUAGAGAAGAGCUUGAAGACUUAUGAGCAACUAUCCCGGUACUCUUGGAGGCUCUGCAACCACAGUUUGAGAAACUCCGCGUUCAAAGUUAAAAACUGUCACCUGAAUAGUUAAUAACAUCAAAGAUUGUGAAAGCAAGUAUAAAUAACACAGAGAUUAAAAUAAUGAGGCAGGAUCAGAAAAAAACAAGAAGGAAGAUCUCCCAUAGAUUUUCAAGGUGCUGAGAAAACAGCUUCUAGACAUAUCUCGAAAGCCAAGUUUCUGAGAUGUAAUCAGAAAGCUGUAGUGGAAGGAAAUUUGAACCAGAAGACUGCAGUCCUGUCUAUGAACGUUAAACCUGUGUGGCUUAGGAAACGAGUCUAACCUCGUCUGAGCCUCAGUUUGUUCACCUAAAAGAUGGAGAUGAGAGCUCAUUUGUCUCAUUCUCAGGGGUUAUGGUGGCCAUCCAGACAUAAAGAAAUUAGAACGUUCAUUCAUCUGCAGAUGCUCACACAUUCCUAC